rnacentral:tRNA from 1 species
GCCCGAGUGGUGAAAUUGGUAGACGCAAUGGACUCAAAAUCCAUCGGUUAACAGCCAUGUCGGUUCGAGUCCGACCCCGGGCACCA